CCCGCGGCGACCCACCCCAGCGGCCAGUGCCCCGCUCCCCCCCGGAGCCCCGCGGUAGCCCGGGGGAGACCCCCAGCAUGAGAGAUUUCAGCGCGAGCCGUCGGAGUCUGGCGGACGGGGUCUGGCGGCAGCGGGGAGCCACCGGCCACGUGCACCCGACCGGCCGCCGCGGCGCUGCCCGGGAGCCCCCAUCCCGGUGGCAGCCGGCCAGGGGACGAGGAUGCCCCAUCCCAGUGGGAGCUGGGCCAGAGCUCGCUCCGCGAGGUCCUUGGACGGCGAUAGCAUCUGGCUCAAGGGCGAGGGUGUAAAAAACAACAACAAAAAAGGCCAACGCAGAAAGAAGCCCAAGGAAAGCCGCAGCGGAGCUGCGCGUAUUGCUGUCUGCAUCCUUUUAAAGUGACCUGUGGGAAAAAUAAA